AUUUUCUGUUGUUAUAUAUAAAAAAAAUAUGAAUCUAGAUGCAAAUUAUUAACAAAAUAAAAUAUCAUAGAUUAAAUUAUUUUUGGAUUGAGAAUAGAGUUAAAGACAUAUUUGUCAUUUUUGUUAAAUUGAAUGGAAAAUUUGUAGGUUUAUUAAAACGUUUGUAACUAAAUUACUAGGAUAAAGCUAUUAAACAAAACCUUGAAGGCUAAAUUGUUAAUAAAAUAAAUUUUAAGGGCUAAAUUAAUUUAAAAACUAUAGGGACCAAUAAGUUGUAGGUUUAAGGAAACUUAAUAGACUAAAUUAUAAUUUAUUUAUUAUUA
rnacentral:misc_RNA from 1 species